ensembl:lncRNA
UUGUGGGUUUUAGUGGGAGGUUUUAGUGGGAGGUUUUAGUAGUGGGUUUUAGUGUGGAGGUUUUAUAGUGGGUUUUAGUAGUUGGUUUUAGUAGUAGUGGGUUUUAGUCGUGGGUUUUAGUAGUGGGCUUUAGUAGUGGGCUUUAGUAGUGGGUUUUAGUAGUGGGCUUUAGUAGUGGGUUUUAGUAGUGGGUUUUAGUAGUGGGUUUUAGUUGUGGGUUUUAGUUGUGGGUUUUAGUAGUAGUGGGUUGUAGUAGUAGUGGGUUUUAGUAUUGGGUUUUAGUUGUGGGUUUUAGUAGCGGGUUUUAGUGGGAGGUUUAGUAGUGGGUUUUAGUGGGAGGUUUUAGUAGUAGUGGGUUUUAGUAGUGGGUUUUAGUAGUAGUGGGUUUUAGUAGUGGGUUUUAGUAGUGGGUUUUAGUAGUGGGUUUUAGUAGUGGGUUUUAGUAGUAGUGGGUUUUAGUAGUGGGUUUUAGUAGUGGGUUUUAGUGGGAGGUUUUAGUAGUAGUGGGUUUUAGUAGUUGUGGGUUUUAGUAGUGGGUUUUAGUAGUGGGUUUUAGUCGUGGGUUUUAGUAGUUUUGGGUUUUUGUAGUGGGUUUUAGUAGUAGUGGGUUUUAGUAGUGGGUUUUAGUAGUAGUGGGUUUUAGUAGUGGGUUUUAGUAGUGGGUUUACGUAGUAGUGGGUUUUAGUAGUGGGUUUUAGUAGUAGUGGGUUUUAGUAGAGGGUUUUAGUAGUGGGUUUUAGUAGUAGUGGGUUUUAGUAGUGGGUUUUAGUAGUAGUGGGUUUUAGUAGUAGUGGGUUUUAGUAGUAGUGGGUUUUAGUAGUGGGU